UGAACGCUGGCGGCGUGCCUACUACAUGCAAGUCGAGCGAACAGACGCGGAGCUUGCUCCUCUGACGUUAGCGGCGGACGGGUGAGUAACACGUGGAUAACCUACCUAUAAGACUGGGAUAACUUCGGGAAACCGGAGCUAAUACCGGAUAAUAUAUUGAACCGCAUGAUUCAAUAGUGAAAGACGGUUUUGCUGUCACUUAUAGAUGGAUCCGCGCCGCAUUAGCUAGUUGGUAAGGUAACGGCUUACCAAGGCAACGGUGCGUAGCCGCCCUGAGAGGGGGACCGGCCACACGGGAACUGGAAAACGGGCCAGGCCCCUACGGGGGGCAGCAGGAGGGAAUUUUCCGCAAUGGGGGAAAGCCUGACGGGGCAACGCCGGGGGAGUGAAGAAGGUUUUCGGAUCGUAAAACUCUUUUUUUAGGGAAAAAAAAAUGUUUAAGUAACUAUGCACGCUUUGACGGUACCAAAUCAAAAAGCCCCGGCUAACUACGG
rnacentral:rRNA from 1 species